UAUAUAUGCGGUUCUACAUGUCAGUACAUUUAUCUAAAAUCCAUUCACAGUCCACACAUAAGAUUUUAAGUACUUGUGAUAAAUGUUGUCUUUGUUCCAUUCCCUGUCCCUCCCCCUUUCUCCUCCCCUCCUUUGGCCCAGAGGGCUGCACAGUGCCUCUCUCGGAAAAAGUACUUCAUAGGUUUGCCAUGAGGACUGCUGGGGCCAAGGCCACUUGCUCGCCAGGGUGUUUCAUAUUCCAGUCAGAUGAUCUGGGUGAUACGGGUUUGGUUUGGAGCCCACCUUCCAAGAAUGAAAGAGACCACUCACCACUUUGUCUGACACUUUGCAGUCCGCCUUCACUGGCUGAAAGACUGACUCUUAGGACUUCUACCCCAAACCAUAGCACCUAGGGGCCAUGUGUUCUGUUUGAGCCUCAGACUUUGAGAUGAGUGGGUGGUUGAGGGAGUAGGCAUUCGUUAGAGAGAUGGGUGUGGGAACUAUCUAUUAUGUACUCCAGGAUUCUCGAUGUCACUUUGUGCUGCCAACUCUUGAGGUAGCCAUCAGUGCUAGAUUAGGAGGAGUGCUUGCUUUCUUACUACCCAUUGAGCACCUGCUGGGCACUUUAUAUGCAUUGUCUCAUUUGACCUUUUUGACCCACUUCUGGGUGGUGGGCUGGUGGAUCAGACCCUGCAGCUGACAUGUCAACUCUACCAUCUUGAUUCUUACAGAUUACACAGACAGAGGUCCAGCAAGGACAGCAGCAGUUCAGCCAGUUCACAGAUGGACAGAGGAACAGCGUGCAGCAAGCUCGAGUCUCUGAGCUAACGGGAGAGGCAGAGCCCAGAGAAGUGAAAGCCACAGGAAAUUCAACUCCCUGCACCUCUUCCCUGCCCACCACACACCCCCCCUCACACCGGGCUGGUGCCUCCUGUGUCUGCUGCUCCCAACCCCAGCAGAGCUCCACUUCCCCUCCUCCUUCUGACGCCUUGCAGUGGGUGGUGGUUGAGGUAUCUGGGACCCCCAACCAGCUCGAGACCCAUAGGGAGCUGCAUGCCCCUCUCCCAGGGGUGACCUCACUCUCUCCUCUCCACCCCUCGCAGCAGCUCUACCAGAUCCAGCAAGUCACCAUGCCUGCGGGCCAGGACCUCGCCCAGCCCAUGUUCAUCCAGUCAGCCAACCAGCCCUCCGACGGGCAGGCCCCCCAGGUGACCGGCGACUGAGGGCCUGAGCUGGCAAGGCCAAGGACACCCAACACAAUUUUUGCCAUACAGCCCCAGGCGAUGGGCACAGCCUUCCUCCCCAGAGGACCCGGCCGACCUCAGCGCCUCCUGCAGGCUAGGACACUGGUGCACUACGCCCCAUGCCUGGGGGCCGAGAUUCUCCAGCAGAAAGAUGCAAUAUUUUUUGUUUCCUUUUUUUCCAUUUUUUUCUCCAAGGAAUCAAUAUUUCAAUAUGUUGAGUGUGUGUCCAAUGCUAUGAAAUUAAAAUAUUAAAUAACA
rnacentral:sRNA from 1 species